rnacentral:rRNA from 1 species
GACGAACGCUGGCGGCGUGCCUAAUACAUGCAAGUAGAACGCUGAAGAGAGGAGCUUGCUCUUCUUGGAUGAGUUGCGAACGGGUGAGUAACGCGUAGGUAACCUGCCUUGUAGCGGGGGAUAACUAUUGGAAACGAUAGCUAAUACCGCAUAACAAUGGAUGACACAUGUCAUUUAUUUGAAAGGGGCAAUUGCUCCACUACAAGAUGGACCUGCGUUGUAUUAGCUAGUAGGUGAGGUAACGGCUCACCUAGGCGACGAUACAUAGCCGACCUGAGAGGGUGCUCGGCCACACUGGGACUGAGACACGGCCCAGACUCCUACGGGAGGCAGCAGUAGGGAAUCUUCGGCAAUGGGGGCAACCCUGACCGAGCAACGCCGCGUGAGUGAAGAAGGUUUUCGGAUCGUAAAGCUCUGUUGUAAGUCAAGAACGAGUGUGAGAGUGGAAAGUUCACACUGUGACGGUAGCUUACCAGAAAGGGACGGCUAACUACGUG